CAACUUUCAGCAACGGAUCUCUUGGCUCUCGCAUCGAUGAAGAACGCAGCGAAAUGCGAUAAGUAAUGUGAAUUGCAGAAUUCAGUGAAUCAUCGAAUCUUUGAACGCACCUUGCACUCCUUGGUAUUCCGAGGAGCAUGCCUGUUUGAGUGUCAUUA
rnacentral:rRNA from 1 species